rnacentral:tRNA from 1 species
UCCCUAGUAUCUCAGACAACAAAGAAUCUGCCUGCAGUGCAGGAGACCCAGGUUUGAUCCCUGGGUUGGGAA